AAAUUUCAGAGAUUACGCGAAGAUGGCGCUGGUACGACAACACGCGAAUCUGGAUGUCUUCCAAAAUCACUACCAGUUCUGAAAAUUCCCUAGAAUCGAGCUGGUCAUUAAAGAAUACGGAGGAGCAGUUCAUUAAUUUCGACAAACGACUGUCGAACUCACGGGUUGAACUAGACCUUCAACUGGACGCACUCGUCUUCUACGCGUGAUGACAUCACAUUUUUGCAUUUCUUUUUGUCUGUCAAUUUCAUUCUAUUCCUUUUUGAAUUGCUACACACUAACGCUCAAACACUUGUACUAGUAUUAAGGCAUGUUAAAUAAACUGUACUGAACUGAGUCUGAA